rnacentral:lncRNA from 1 species
UCUCAGAGCAGGACUCUGACAUGUUACUGGGUUACAAAGACCCCUCCCUGCCAGGGCCAGCAUGCAGCACAGGGUGCUUUUGAGUUCCGGUGAACUGGUUGCUCUGGCUGGAGCCUAGGGCGAAGUUUCCCCUUCACCGCCCAUUCCUCAUCCCUCAGGACACACAGGUCACAUUUCCUCGCCUUCUCCUCCCCACCUCUAAGGCUUGGCCAAAGUUUCUUCGUAAGCAAGAAAGAUAACGAAAGAGCCCGCCAUGGGUUAUGGUUUUUGUGGGGCCAGGAAUGCCCAGUUUGAACCUCCAGUUCCACCACCUGUAGCCGAGUGAAAGAGGCUGGAUUAUUCAGACGCCCCCAAGCCUCAGUUUCCCCACUUGUUGUGAGGCUUGAAUGCGCUAACACGUCAAGGCAACCCAGAAGAGCGCUUGGCAGAGACUUGCAGUUUAUCAGUGGGAGCUGUCGUUAUUGGAAAGUGGGUGGAGUCGGGUUUGGAUUCCCCCAGGAGCAAAGACAGAAACAAAAGGAUUCAAGAUCCCUACCUUGACACUCACAUAAGAGAAGAGUGAAGUUUCGGGGACUCCACACCUCAAGGUAGUUCCACCGCGCGAGGUGCUGAGCUCACAGUAUUACUCAUGCACCUUUCUGAUAAGAAAAGUGAAAACGUGAAGUUGAAAACUGAAGACGCCCAGCAACUUCCUGAAUCCAGCUCUCCACGUCCUGCCCUACGGGACAGACGACUCCCAAAGAGGAAUCAUUGGUGGAAGUCCCAUGUUUCGUUGGCGUUGGAAGGGGGAACUGGUCAAGGGCUCAUCUCUGGACCCACACCCCAUAACCAACAUGGAAGCCUGGAUUUGGCCCUGGAUCAGGCUGACUCCCCAGGGAAGGGUCCAGUCUCUCCGGGGAGACAUCCCGACUUCGGGUCCUGCUUUCUCUACUAUAAUUCGAGGCCAGCCAUGCCCCUCAGUGGGCCUCAGUUUCCUCACCUGUACAGUGGGGAAAUCCAUAGGACCUACCUUCUGGGAGGGCACUGAGGACCAAGGGAAUGAAUGCCUGUCCAGUGCUCAUGAUCGUGACAAGCACGGCGCAGAAUCAAUCCGGAAUAAAUGCUUACUGGUGAGCGAUGGCAGGGAAGGUUUCUAAAAACCCCCUGAUUUGAGAUGAGAUCUGAUUCACCCACUUAAAAAACCAUAUUGGGAAAUAAUUCGAAAUGUACAGGAAAGUUAUAAGAAUCGCACAAAGAAUACUCCCAAACGUUUUGCCCAGAUUCACCUGUUUUCUACGGCAACUUUGAGGUAGAAUUCACACGCCAUACAGUUGACCCAUCUCAAGUGUACAAUUCAAUGGCCUUUCAUAGUCAGAGUUGUGCAACUGUCACCAGAGUCAAUUUUAGAACGUUUUCAUCACUCUCCUCCCACAAAAAAACCCCUCACAUCCCUUGGCUGUCACUCUGCACCUAUUAAUAUUUUUUUAAGU